GAAGAUGCUGUAGCGUCCUCACCGGCUGCCAGCAGGGAAAUGGUCCAAGAGUGCUGGGUGUGAGCCUCCCUUCUCCUCAAGCCGGAGACUGCGGUUGUCAUUGAUCAAUUGAAGAAGCAAGGACCCGAAAUCACAGACAUUAGCAAUGAUGUGUGAAGUGAUGCCCACGAUUAAUGAGGACACCCCAAUGAGCCAAAGGGGGUCCCAAAGCAGUGGCUCGGACUCAGACUCCCAUUUUGAGCAGCUGAUGGUGAAUAUGCUAGAUGAAAGGGAUCGUCUUCUAGACACCCUUCGGGAGACCCAGGAAAGCCUCUCACUUGCCCAGCAAAGACUUCAGGAUGUCAUCUAUGACCGAGACUCACUCCAGAGACAGCUCAAUUCAGCCCUGCCACAGGAUAUCGAAUCCCUAACAGGAGGGCUGGCUGGUUCUAAGGGGGCUGAUCCACCGGUAAGUUAGAUUCUUCAUUAAAUUUAACUGUUGAUGAAUUGAAUUGUGUACACACCAGAUUAUCAGUUGAUUGCUUGUAUAUUAUUUGUCAUAUGCAGGUAAUUUUUAUAAAUACGGCUAUUAUAGAAACUAAU
rnacentral:sRNA from 1 species